rnacentral:rRNA from 1 species
CCUACGGGUGGCAGCAGUGAGGAAUAUUGGUCAAUGGGCGGGAGCCUGAACCAGCCAAGUCGCGUGAGGGAUGACGGUCCUAUGGAUUGUAAACUUCUUUAGGCGGGGAGCAAUGCCGGGCACGCGUGCCCUGAGGGAGAGUACCCGCAGAAUAAGCAUCGGCUAACUCCGUGCCAGCAGCCGCGGUAAUACGGAGGAUGCGAGCGUUAUCCGGAUUUAUUGGGUUUAAGGGGUGCGUAGGCGGAUUUUUAAGUCAGCGGUAAAAUGUCCGGGCUCAACCCGGGCCGGCCGUUGAAACUGGGGAGCUUGAGUGGGCGAGAAGUAUGCGGAAUGCGUGGUGUAGCGGUGAAAUGCAGAGAUAUCACGAAGAACUCCGAUUGCGAAGGCAGCAUACCGGCGCCCGACUGACGCUGAGGCACGAAAGCGUGGGGAUCGAACAGGAUUAGAUACCCUUGUAGUC